rnacentral:tRNA from 1 species
AAGGUGGCGGAAUUGGUAGACGCGCUAGCUUCAGGUGUUAGUGUCUUAACGGACGUGAGGGUUCAAGUCCCUCUCUUCGCA